CAAUAGCGUAUAUUAAAGUUGUUGCGGUUAAAAAGCUCGUAGUUGGAUUUCUGUUGAGAGCAGCCGGUCUGCACUUGGUGCAUGUAUCUGGUUUGAUCUCGGCAUCCUCUCAAAAUACGUUUCUGCGCUUGAUUGCGUGGAGCGGAGUUUGGGACUUUUACUUUGAGGAAAUUAGAGUGUUCACGGCAGGCAAUCGCCUUGAAUAUAUUAGCAUGGAAUAAUAAUAUAGGAUCUUGGUUCUAUUUUGUUGGUUUCUAGAGCUAAGAUAAUGAUUAAUAGGGACAAUUGGGGGCAUUCGUAUUAACGCGUCAGAGGUGGAAUUCUUGGAUUGCGUUACGACGAACUACUGCGAAAGCAUUUGCCAAGGAUGUUUUCAUUGA
rnacentral:rRNA from 1 species